rnacentral:tRNA from 2 species
UGGGGCGUGGUCCAAUCGGUAGGACGCUGCACUGUUAAUGCAGAAGGUGGAGGUUCGAAUCCUCCCGCCCCAGCCA